rnacentral:rRNA from 1 species
GCCCUUGAAAUAAUCAAAGGUGUAACCUGCCCAAUGGUUUUUAAUUGAAAAAAUCCCAUAGAUUUUUAAUAAAACUUAAAGGACGCAGUAUCUUGACUGUGAUAAUGUAGCAUAAUCACUCGCCACUUAAUUGGUGGAUAGUAUGAAUGGUUGAACGAAUAUUACACUGUCUCCCUUAGAAAAUUCAUGAAAUUGAAAUAGUAGUUAAGAUGCUACUUAACAUUGUAAGACGAAAAGACCCUAUAGAGCUUAACUAUAGUUUGUAUUAUAAAAAGAAAGAUAACUUACUUUCAUAUAUACAAAUUGGUAGUUUAGUUGGGGCGACUAUCUUCUAAAAAUAACGAAGAUAAGCAAAGUUAAUCAAAAAACUUAUUGUAUAAAUAACCUUUUUAACAAUUAUAAUAAUAGGCUAUAAUGACCCAUUGUUGCUUAAUAAAAAGAAUAAUGAUCAAUGAAUAAAAGCUACCUUAGGGAUAACAGGAUAAUUUUGUUUUAGAGAUCAAAUCGAAAACAAAGUUUGUCACCUCUAUGUUGAAUUAAGAUAUCCUAAUGAUGCAGAAGUUAUUAAGGGUAGGUCUGUUCGACCUCUAAGAUCUU